GUAGGUGGCAAGCGUGUCCGGAUUUAUUGGGCGUAAAGCGAGCGCAGGCGGAAGAAUAAGUCUGAUGUGAAAGCCCUCGGCUUAACCGAGGAACUGCAUCGGAAACUGUUUUUCUUGAGUGCAGAAGAGGAGAGUGGAAUUCCAUGUGUAGCGGUGGAAUGCGUAGAUAUAUGGAAGAACACCAGUGGCGAAGGCGACUCUCUGGUCUGCAACUGACGCUGAGGCUCGAAAGCAUGGGUAGCGAACAGGAUUAGAUACCCUGGUAGUCAAGGGCG
rnacentral:rRNA from 1 species